AAAAGAUUAGUUAAAAAUAUAACUUUAGGUUGUCAAUCUAAAAUUACUAGAUAUAGUAUCUUUUA
rnacentral:tRNA from 1 species